UUCCCUCUAAAGUUUUCCUCAGGAUAGCUGGAGCCCUUAGCGAGUUCUAUCGGGUAAAGCCAAUGAUUAGAGGCAUCGGGGGCGAAAUGCCCUCGACCUAUUCUCAAACUUUAAAUAGGUAAGACGGUGCGGCUGCUUCGUUGAGCCGCGCCACAGAAUCGAGAGCUUCAAAUAGGCCAUUUUUGGUAAGCAAAACUGGCAAUGUGGGAUGAACCAGAAGCUGAGUUACGGUGCCUAACUGCGCGCUAACCUAGAACCCACAAAGGGUGUUGGUCGAUUAAGACAGUAGGACGGUAGUCAUGGAAGUCAAAAUCCGCUAAGGAGUGUGUAACAACUCACCUGCCGAAUCAACUAGCCCCGAAAAUGGAUGGCGCUUAAGCACACGACCUAUACCCGGCUGUCGGGGCAAGGGCCAGGCCCCGAUGAGUAGGAGGGCGUGGCGGUCACUGCAAAACCCGGGCCGCGAGCCUGGGCGGAGUGGCUGUCGGUG
rnacentral:ncRNA from 1 species